GUCCUCACACUUAGCUGAGUUGGUAGAGUAUGAAACUCUUAAUCUCAGGUUCAUGGGUUGAAGCCCCGCAUUGGGCA